CACGUAGGAGGCGAGCGUUGUCCGGAAUCAUUGGGCGUAAAGAGCGCGCAGGCGGCUUGGCAAGUCGGGUGUGAAAUCCCGGGGCUCAACCCCGGGACUGCAUUCGAUACUGUCAGGCUAGAGGUAGGUAGGGGAGAUCGGAAUUCCUGGUGUAGCGGUGAAAUGCGCAGAUAUCAGGAGGAACACCGGUGGCGAAGGCGGAUCUCUGGGCCUUACCUGACGCUGAGGCACGAAAGCGUGGGGAGCAAACAGG
rnacentral:rRNA from 1 species